UACGAAGGGGGGCUAGCGUUGUUCGGAAUUACUGGGCGUAAAGCGCACGUAGGCGGAUAUUUAAGUCAGGGGUGAAAUCCCAGAGCUCAACUCUGGAACUGCCUUUGAUACUGGGUAUCUCGAGUAUGGAAGAGGUGAGUGGAAUUCCGAGUGUAGAGGUGAAAUGCGCAGAUAUCAGGAGGAACACCAAUAGCGAAGGCAGCUCGCUGGGACGGUACUGACGCUAAGGUGCGAAAGCGUGGGGAGCGAACAGG
rnacentral:rRNA from 1 species